rnacentral:misc_RNA from 1 species
AAGUCGUAACAAGGUUUCCGUAGGUGAACCUGCGGAAGGAUCAUUACCACAAACAGUACUUCUGUAUUGUUUUAAAACUCUUUAUUGCAAAUUGUGCACGGAUUUUUGGAUGUUAUCUUUUUUUUAUAUGUAAUGUAAUAUGCAAUGACAGUGUUGAUCUUGGCAAGUCAUUGUAUCUUCGAUGAUCUUGUUGAAGUAAAAUAUUAUGUUACAAACAAAAAAAUAAUAACAAUAUAUCCAAAUUUCCAUGUGUUUUUUAUACUCGAAAACACAUCAUAAUUCGCCUCUUCUUUAUUGAAAAGGUGAUUUCUUUUAAUUUAUUUAUUUAAUUACAACAUUUUUAAUUAAAUGUUGUUUUAAAAAUAAAACUCUGUACAACUCUUAGCAACGGAUGUCUUGGUUCCC